UACGUAGGGGGCAAGCGUUGUCCGGAAUCAUUGGGCGUAAAGAGCGUGUAGGCGGCCGAUCAAGUCGGGGGUGAAAGCCUGUGGCUCAACCACAGAAUUGCCUUCGAUACUGUUUGGCUUGAGACCGGAAGAGGUUAGUGGAACUGCGAGUGUAGAGGUGAAAUUCGUAGAUAUUCGCAAGAACACCAGUGGCGAAGGCGGCUGACUGGUCCGGUUCUGACGCUGAGGCGCGAAAGCGUGGGGAGCAAACAGGG
rnacentral:rRNA from 1 species